rnacentral:rRNA from 1 species
UCGUAGGUGGCGAGCGUUGUCCGGAUUUAUUGGGUUUAAAGGGUGCGUAGGCGGCCCUAUAAGUCAGUGCUGAAAUAUCCCGGCUUAACCGGGAGGGUGGCAUUGAUACUGUAGGGCUUGAGUAAAGUUGAGGUUGGCGGAAUUGACGGUGUAGCGGUGAAAUGCUUAGAUAUGACAUAGAACACCAAUUGCGAAGGCAGCUCACUACGCGAAUAUUGACACUGAGGCACGAAAGCGUGGGGAUCAAACAGGA